CAUGCCUGGUGUAUCUCAUCAACAUUCUAAUUAUACACCACACCAAAAUCAAUAAAGUGAUGAUAAUUUUAUAUACUUUAAUUCAGUUCAAUUAUUACUCACCUCACCAUCUCUAUGCAGUUGUGUCAUUAUAAAGUCACACCUUAUGUACUUGAAUUCUCACCUCAUCCUCCUCUUUGAUUAACCUAUGAAUCCUAAUAGAUCAGCUAUGGCAGCGAUCUUCAUCUUCUUGACGAUCUUCACGGUGGCAUUUGCCUUCGACAUGUCUAUCAUUUCCUAUGAAAGAACUCACGCAGACAAGUCCUCAUGGAGGAGUGACAGUGAGGUAAUGAGCAUGUACGAGGAGUGACUUGUGAGGCAUAGAAAGGUGAAUGACAACAACAUGGGAGAAAAGGAAAAGAGAUUUGAAAUAUUUAAAGACAACCUUAGGUUCAUCGACGAACAAGAAGAGUAACCGUUAUGCUGCAAGUGUCGGUGAAGAAGGUGCUGUAACCCAAGUCAAACACCAAGGAACUUGCGGCCAUGUGCAAGGAUUUGGAUUGUCGGCUGUCACAAAACCACACGAAAGUGGCCAAGUGUAAUUGACCGUCCGAUCAAGAUUGAAUGGUUCUUAUUUAAAGCUGAUAAUUUUGAUAAAAAGAAAUCUGUUUUUUUCCAACCAUGCGAUCGAAAUCAAACGAUCAAUAAUAUUUUGACACGUGAAUGCGGACAAUUUUCGAUUGAAUGGUGUCUUUCAGUUUAAUAAGAAAUUAUGAGUUUGAAUUUAA